rnacentral:tRNA from 1 species
GGCCCCAUCGUCUAGUGGACUAGGACAUCAGGUUUUCAUCCUGGAAACGGGGGUUCAAUUCCCCCUGGGGUCACCA